UACGUAGGGUGCGAGCGUUAAUCGGAAUUACUGGGCGUAAAGCGUGCGCAGGCGGUUCGUUGUGUCGGUGGUGAAAUCCCCGGGCUUAACCUGGGAAUGGCCAUGGAAACUGGCGAACUGGAGUGCGGCAGAGGGGGGUGGAAUUCCGCGUGUAGCAGUGAAAUGCGUAGAGAUGCGGAGGAACACCGAUGGCGAAGGCAGCCCCCUGGGCUAGCACUGACGCUCAGGCACGAAAGCGUGGGGAGCAAGCAGG
rnacentral:rRNA from 1 species